UUCCGGUUGAUCCCGCCGGACCUGACUGCUAUCGGAUUGAUACUAAGCCAUGCGAGUCAUUGUAGCAAUACAAGGCAGACGGCUCAGUAACGCGUAGUCAAUCUACCCUAUGGACGGGAAUAACCUCGGGAAGCUGAGAAUAAUGCCCGAUAGAACAUUAUGCCUGGAAUGGUUUAUGUUCCAAAUGAUUUAUCGCCAUAGGAUGGGACUGCGGCCUAUCAGUUUGUUGGUGAGGUAAUGGCCCACCAAGACUAUUACAGGUACGGGCUCUGAGAGGAGUAGCCCGGAGAUGGGUACUGAGACACGGACCCAGGCCCUAUGGGGCGCAGCAGGCGAGAAAACUUUGCAAUGUGCGAAAGCACGACAAGGUUAAUCCGAGUGGUUUCUGCUAAAGAAACCUUUUGUCAGUCCUAGAAACACUAACGAAUAAGGGGUGGGCAAGUUCUGGUGUCAGCCGCCGCGGUAAAACCAGCACCUCAAGUGGUCAGGAUGAUUAUUGGGCCUAAAGCAUCCGUAGCUCGUUUUGUAAGUUUUCGGUUAAAUCCAUGCGCUUAACGUAUGGGCUGCCGGGAAUACUGCAUAACUAGGAAGUGGGAGAGGUAGACGGUACUCGGGAGGAAGGGGUAAAAUCCUUUGAUCUCUUGAUGACCACCUGUGGCGAAGGCGGUCUACCAGAACACGUUCGACGGUGAGGGAUGAAAGCUGGGGGAGCAAACCGGAUUAGAUACCCGGGUAGUCCCAGCUGUAAACUAUGCAAACUCAGUGAUGCAUUGGCUUAUGGCCAAUGCAGUGCUGCAGGGAAGCCGUUAAGUUUGCCGCCUGGGAAGUACGUACGCAAGUAUGA
rnacentral:rRNA from 1 species